UACGUAGGGUGCGAGCGUUGUCCGGAAUUAUUGGGCGUAAAGAGCUUGUAGGCGGUUUGUCGCGUCUGCUGUGAAAUCUCAAGGCUCAACCUUGAGCUUGCAGUGGGUACGGGCAGACUAGAGUGUGGUAGGGGGAGACUGGAAUUCCUGGUGAUAGCGGUGAAAUGCGUAGAUAUCAGGAGGAACACCGGUGGUGUAGACGGCUUUCUGGACCGUAACUGACG
rnacentral:rRNA from 1 species